UACGAAGGGGGCUAGCGUUGCUCGGAAUCACUGGGCGUAAAGCGCACGUAGGCGGCUUUCUAAGUCAGGGGUGAAAUCCUGGAGCUCAACUCCAGAACUGCCUUUGAUACUGGAGAGCUUGAGUUCGGGAGAGGUGAGUGGAACUGCGAGUGUAGAGGUGAAAUUCGUAGAUAUUCGCAAGAACACCAGCGGCGAAGGCGGCUCACUGGCCCGAUACUGACGCUGAGGUGCGAAAGCGUGGGGAGCAAACAGG
rnacentral:rRNA from 1 species